GAGAGGUGGAGAUCAGAGAGAGAGAGAGAGGAAUGGACACAGAGAGACAGAGAGAGAGGCUAGUAGCCGGCGUUAUGAUGAGUGUUUACUGCACUGUUCUGAGAACCAAUGAUCUGCUCUUGUGUGAGUCAUGGAGAUUAUUUAGACUGGUGACAGCGUGCAGCACAGAACAUCGGCAGAACUCCCUCACGCUCCUCACACUGACAACAGGAGACGUACAGCAGGCAGAUGCGUGACUGUUUGAUCUGUGAAAAAGCGGCCAGCGGGUCACACAUAUUGGCACAAAGGAGAAGCUGACAAAUGGCUGAGCUGUAGGAGCCAAGAGUUGAUGGACAGUCGGAAGAGCGAAUGAAAUGCUGAGCUCUGACAUCCCCACGCAAACAAGAGGAGAGAAAGAGCAGGCCAGGCCAGGCUCAGUGACCAUCAUCACUCAUCCUGAACACCAGGCAAUAAUCCUCCAUGCAUUUCCAAUCUGAGACAGAAUGAAACAAGGUGACAAAAUGGAC